rnacentral:rRNA from 1 species
GGGCCCGCACAAGCGGUGGAGUAUGUGGUUUAAUUCGAUGCAACGCGAAGAACCUUACCAGGGUUUGACAUCCUGCGAAUCUCUUGGAAACGAGAGAGUGCCUUCGGGAACGCAGUGACAGGUGGUGCAUGGCUGUCGUCAGCUCGUGUCGUGAGAUGUUGGGUUAAGUCCCGCAACGAGCGCAACCCACGUCUUUAGUUGCCAGCAGUUCGGCUGGGCACUCUAGAGAAACUGCCUGGGAUGACCAGGAGGAAGGCGAGGAUGACGUCAAGUCCUCAUGGCCCUUAUGGGCUGGGCUACACACGUGCUACAAUGGCGGUUACAAUGGGAAGCAAUAGGGUGACCUGGAGCUAAUCCCCAAAGGCCGUCUCAGUUCGGAUUGUUCUCUGCAACUCGAGAACAUGAAGUCGGAAUCGCUAGUAAUCG